rnacentral:misc_RNA from 1 species
AAGUCGUAACAAGGUCUUCGUAGGUGAACCUGCGGAGGGAUCAUUGAUGAAUUUUGAAUAACCUUCGGGUUUCAUUUCAUCUCCACACACCCUAGUGCAUUUUUUUCUAUUGGUACGAGCCUUAACGGGAUCGGACCGAUACGAAACUCUUGUGAAUGAAAACAGUUUUGAAUGUUUAGCUUUCCUUAACAGGAAUGUAAAAGUCUUAACAACUAUUAACGGUGGACCUCUUGGCUCUC